AGGCGGAGAGGCGACGAAGGAGGGCGCCAAGGAGGAGAAGGAUAAGAAGACGGUGGGAAAAGUAGCAACGUCCCAGCCUGAGGAGGUGAACUACCUGAACCGUUCACCAAACCACGUUCAGCAGGGCGACCCCGUCUACCAACACCAUAAAGGCUCGAGGCAAGAGAGUCUCGAUGGAGUGUACUUCGUAGCAAUCGUGGCUGGAUGUACGGCUGUAGCUGUGUUUGGUGUCAUUAGUGCUGGAAUCUGCUGGUAUAGGUAAGUGUGUUUUAUGAGUUUAGUUUAUCACAUAUUUCAGUGUACACUUUUUGUAAUAACUAUAUACUGUUCCUGUA